rnacentral:tRNA from 1 species
GGUCUGGUACUUUAAGUUAAAAGAUGAUAGUUGCAUUAUCACAAUGAGAAAUUCUCUCAGGCCU